rnacentral:rRNA from 1 species
UACGAAGGGGGCAAGCGUUACUCGGAAUUAUUGGGCGUAAAGAGUGCGUAGGCUGUCUUGCAAAUUAAGAGUGAAAUAUUUAAGCUUAACUUAAAAACUGCUCAUAAAACUACAAGACUAGAGUAAUAAAGAAGAUAAAGGAAUUUCUAAUGUAGUAGUGAAAUCCGUAGAUAUUAGAAAGAACACCGAUAGCGAAAGCAUUUAUCUAGUUAUUCAACUGACGCUGUUGCACGAAAGCGUGGGGAGCAAACAGG